ACUUACAGAGCUUUCUUUUUGCUUGUUUGUUUCUCUGCCUCUUUUUCUCCUACAAGUGUAUUCAGUGAAACCUACCAGAUUGACAAUGGCAGAGAACAAAGUUCUGAGCAGGGAUUGUAUGUGUGAACAUUGCAGGAGACAGGCAAGGAGCUGCAGGGCUGUAGCUCGCGGGGCCUCAUUGUUUGGGAAUGCUGCAUAACAAAAAGAAAGGCCAUGCACCGAUGAGCUUCUGCGAGAAAUCUCUUCAAAACAGAACCAAAGCGAAUUGAACCAAACCAAACCAAACCAAAAACUUACUCUGCAGCCAGGAAUAGCCACUGCCCAAAAGUGACUUGGUACCUGGCAGCAUUCAACAGGCUCUUCCUGUGCCUCCUGCCACCAUGAGAAAAGAGCUUCAGCACACUUUGCUUUUGCAGAUUUUGCACUUGCAGACUCUCCAGCUGGCUCCUGAAGGAGAUUCAUGCACUCUGCAUCAUGCAGCUAGCCUGAUCUUGCCUACACAUAACUUUAAUUGCAGUAUCUAACAAUUGGUUUGUACUCUUUAUGCAAAGUAUAACAUCUCUGCCAAAAGCAUCAUGAAUGAUGAUAACUCUAUUUUUCAUAACCUUAUUCCAGUAUUUGAAUCUUGACCCUGCUUCAGCCUCCCCAGUUCUUGGGAAAGUGUGUUCCUCAUUUUAAUUCUGUGCUUUACAGACAAACACUCUUUAAUUUCUGUGGAUAUUAGUUGUGUUUUAUCAUAGUGACAGUAGGGUUCAGGACAGGAUGAAGAAAGGUCCCCAUCCAGUCUUUUCAAAAUAUGCAAUAUUUUAUUUAUUUCCAUCAAAUCCCAGACUACCUGCCACUUCUCUAAUGUUAGUUAUUCCAGUCUUUAUUAACUUGCUUGACAGGAGAAUCCACUUUUUGGCUAAACAUACCUCUACCCUGCAAUACCCUCACCGAGAUGGUUACUCCUCCCCAUCAUUAUGAAGCGUAACAUUCACUUUGCUCUUGGCUGCCCCUGAACAGAGUGUUUUUCUCCAAGCUAUCUGCAAUACCUCACAAUCUCUUUCCUCCAACUGAAAUGGCUGUCAGGACUUCGUCAGGUAUAAGGUUAGAUUACAUUUUGCCUGUCAAAAAGGUGUUUAUUGUGUUUUACGUUUGAUUUUACCACUGUGUUCUGGUUUGCCUGACCUCAUAGUCCACCCUGGGCUGGAUGGAGCCCUAAAUAACUAUAUCACCUGUCAGUUCCUUCCUCCAUUUUUACAGAUAUUACAAUAUAUUUAUUAAGCAGUAUACCAUUUCAAGGCUCUUGCUGAUGACUGCUACACAGAGAAUUCAUCAUUCAACACUAUCCUUUGUUUUCUAGCCUCUUUGUGAUCUUGUUGUAAUUCUUUGCCUUUUUCUCUGUGAGUAUGUAACGUUUGUAUGGCUCCUUGAAGAGACCUUUCAGGUUGUGUCACCAUUUCAAAAGGAAGCUCAUUCCAGUCCCACCAAUAGCACUACCAAGUAGAAGUGCUGUCUUCAAAAGGGCUGGAAAUCCAACAGUUUCAGACUCACCCAAAUGUCAGCUGAAAAACAUGUACAAAAGCUUGCUGAAAAUAUCUGACAGAAAUUCAGUUCAUAGCUAAAGAACAAUGCUGUGUGUGGGAUACUGAACCCCAGGUUUGAAGCCUGUUUGGAAACCUUUUUGGCCUGAAGCUGGCUUCAAAGAGUCAAGGGUUUACCUGACAUUUAUCUCCCAUAUCCCAUCCACUUGUUCUUGCUGCUCCACCACUGCUACCACAGCCUGGUGUCCCUCCUUUUGUAUUUCUUUUCUCUGUGCAAUUCUGUCUUCAUUCUAACACAGGCAAAUUUCAAAGUCAGAUUCCACUCUUUUCCACUAUUAUUUCUGUUAUGAAUAUUUCUGAAUUUUUGGGCAUU